UGUAGUUUUUUGGGGAUUUGCUCCGUGUGGGACGCCAUGUUUUUUUUAGUGUUUACCCGCCUUUGCCCUGCAAGGUGCAAUGAAGUUGAGUGUUACGGUGAGAAUAAAGAAAGGGCAAGGUCUCCGCCAUAAUCCGAACUCCUGCGUCUGGUGUCUCCUUCUCUCCGCAUGACACUCCACUACAACUACAUUCAAAAACAAAUCACAACGCAGAGUCCAGGGGAGGUGUGGAGGGUCUGGCAGCAGAUGUGCCGAGGCAGUGGGUUACAUCUUUGGUACUGUGACCCGGAUUGUGACGCUCGGAGACCGAAGACUGAGGACGACUGAGACUGGCAGUGCUCUACAACCCAAACGAUGCUGGACGCCCGGUCUGCGUUAUCAUCAGUGAGUGAACUGUGCGCCUAGCGUCAGCUCUAUCAACAUCCUGAUAAACUGUAUUUGAAGAAACCGGCUUUUCAUAAGGGACAGUUGCUUUCCUGCUACAUUCCUGCUUCUGGAGACUGCAGUGGAAUAACGUCCACCUUCAACAGUGUAUCCUUCCAAAUAUCGGGUGGGAUAUUAAAGUACUUGUCUUAAUUUUUGAUUUUUUGUGUGAAAAAAAUUAGUGAUAGAUAGUAAGACAAAGCUGAUGUGUUAUUCUCUGAUAGAAAUUUCAUUUACUAGCGAUAUUUAAACUGGUGUUACUUUUCUUGAAGUUUAAGAAAGUUGCGUAUAGACGAAUGGUGGCUAAUUCAUAUUUGUUGUAAGUUAUGGUUAAAAUUUGAUAAUUGUGUUGCACAUAUUUCAUGACACUUUAUCAUAUAACAUAUAAUAAUUUCACAUACACACAGUCUCACGUACCACAUUAACAUACUGAAGUAACCUCGCAGUAUACAUAUUCAGGCCCAGCUAGUAUGUAUUGAGAAACAAAAGAAAAUGUGGAGUGGUUACGCAGAUUCCCCAUUAAGGCUGGAGGCACCCUCUGCCGCAGCCUCCAACAUUCAAUCCUCCCAUGGCCCUGCAACAAGCCCCUACCAUGGCACAGAUGGAACCCAAAUCCACCCUUUGAGCGAUGGGGCAAAGGCAGACCCUGGCACGGUGAGCCCACAGCACUACGUAAAAGACCCCCACCCCCACAGGCACCCUCCAGGGCCUGAAGUAGGCACACAGCUAACCCCACCGCCCCCAGUGCUGUCACCUUAUUGGAUUAAUCCUGCCAAAGCAUCCACCUUUCAAGGUUUAUGAGCUAUAAUGCAGGCCCCCGUGCCCAGGUUUGAUGUCACACCAGCUACAGGACUGAGACGUCAGAUAAACAGGUCAGAUUACAGCUUGCCAAGUGCCAUGUCUCCAAUGGACGUUCCUGUACCCCAGCCAGCAGUGCAGACUGUUACGGGCUCUGCUAUCCCACCUCAAGCUAAUCCCUAUGGGUCCCAACCCUCCCUACCUCUUCCCAGCCCCUCACUUCCCAUCCAACCAGAAGUGCAGGUUGUGCCACAGCCCUCCAUGAAGCACCCAGCCACCUUUCACUACCCUACCCAGCCCAUUAAGCCUAGCUCUCAAAGUUACACUGGCUAUGCACACUCUACCCCUGCUCCCCAGGUGCGUACAGCACCAGCUCCGGUUCACUACCCUCAAGACCCUGCAGCCCCCAUACCCGCACCUGCCACCAGUGUAUGGGACCCAAACACAAUAAUGCCCAGCCACUCAGCUUCUCUUCAGGCCCCUACCUCGGUGCAGCUACAGACACCAGCAGUCAACCCUCAUGCCAUCAUGUAUCCUGGCACCUUCUCACAUACUAUGCCCCUGCCUUAACCUUUGAACCCACUCAUGCACUUGUACCCGUCUGACCCACCCCCAAAGACUCCUGCCAUAACCACAGCUAACCCAGGCAUCUCACAGAUGACUUACGGCGGGUUCAUGCAGACUCACCAGGUCAAGAAUGCCCAAGUAUUCACAGGUAACGCAGAUAGCAAGAUACUUGUUGAUGAUUGGACACGUGAUAUGCAGUAUCUUCUACAGUGUGCGACACUUGAGUGGUGAGGCCAGAAAACUGGUUCUGAAUCUUCCCCCCAUGAACAGACCCCAGAGAAGACAUUUGAGGAAUUAAGAGCAGAGAACGGUGACACACAGAGCUCCUUGGAUCCGCUGGCCGACUUCUAUGAGUGCUGCCAGCGGCCAGGGGAGUCCGCCUGCUCUUCUGCUAUUGUGCUGGAGUCUACAUUGCGGACUGUGGAAGAAAAUCAAAGAGGAGGCAGGCCCUUUCCUGAUCGUGACAGUAAACUCACCUGGCAGUUUCUGAGAGGACUUAAUGAUGAGGAGGUGUAUGCAAGGAUUGUACCAAUGAAACCCAGGCUCUUAAGCUUCAGACAGCUGCAAGUUGAACUACGAAAUCUAGCAAGAGAGACUAAAAAAUUCCAGUCACAACACAAAUCAAAGAACAGACCCUCCAGGAUUUCGCGAUGUUGCGAUUUGCAACUUCAACGCAAAUUCAACCAAUCCCCGCGAAUUCAGGGCAGUGUUGCAAUUAUAUCCAAUCACCGCAACUUUCCCGCAAAUUUGACCAAUCGUUGGCGUCAUCUUGAGGUGACGUCGACAAACUACCUUCCGCAUUACUUCCAGUGUUGCCAGAUUGGGCAGUUUCAAGUGUAUUUUGGCGGGUUUUGAACAUAUUUUGGGCUGGAAAACGUCAGCAGUAUCUGGCAACACUGCUUACUUCCGUGUAUACGUUCAAGAGAAGCAGCAUGUGCGAGUCAGUGUUUAUAUAGGCUUAAAUUCUGUUACUGAAAGUGUGUUAUGUUUACAGUGAAGGACUGUGUUCACUUUACAUUAUUUUUUUACUUAAUACAAGAAAUUAAUGGAUGCCAACAUUUUUGCCAAAAUGGUAUUUUAUUUUCCUUUGUUUAGGCAGCUUCAGCAUCAUACUGUGAGAUUCUGUUCAAAUUGUUUUUUUCUUCUAUGAAGCCUGAGCCAUUUAUUUUAUUAGUUUAUAAUUAUUGUUUAAUUUAGUCUUCAGGAGAGACUGCCUGCACACAGUAUUAGUAUUAAUAAUUGUUUUUUUCUUACAUGAAAGCUGAGGCAUUUAUAUUAUAUUUUAAGGUAACUUCAUGUUGUGCUGUGAGGUUCUAUGCACUUUAACUUUUGGACCAACAGGUGCAUUGGGAUAAGUAAAGCCUAUUUUUCUGCAUGUUUGUAGUCCUGGUAAUCUUUUAUAUUGGUAAAGUUGUUUAUAGGACCAUU